UGGGGAAUAUUGGACAAUGGGCGCAAGCCUGAUCCAGCCAUGCCGCGUGAGUGAUGAAGGCCUUAGGGUUGUAAUGCUCUUUUUGGCGGGGACGAUAAUGACGGUACCCGCAGAAUAAGCCCCGGCUAACUUCGUGCCAGCAGCCGCGGUAAUACGAAGGGGGCUAGCGUUGUUCGGAAUUACUGGGCAUAAAGCGCACGUAGGCGGAUCAGCAAGUCAGGGGUGAAGUCCCGGGGCUCAACCUCGGAACUGCCUCUGAUACUGCUGGUCUGGAGUCCGGAAGAGGUGAGUGGAAUUCCUAGUGUAGAGGUGAAAUUCGUAGAUAUUAGGAAGAACACCAGUGGCGAAGGCGGCUCACUGGUCCGGUACUGACGCUGAGGUGCGAAAGCGUGGGGAGCAAACAGGAUUAGAUACCCACGUAGUCCCUGAGCGGGCUGGCAAGGCGCAU
rnacentral:rRNA from 1 species